AGGGAAUCUUCCGCAAUGGACGAAAGUCUGACGGAGCAACGCCGCGUGAGUGAUGAAGGUUUUCGGAUCGUAAAGCUCUGUUGCCAGGGAAGAACGUCUUCUGGAGUAACUGCCAGGAGAGUGACGGUACCCGAGAAGAAAGCCCCGGCUAACUACGUGCCAGCAGCCGCGGUAAUACGUAGGGGGCAAGCGUUGUCCGGAAUUAUUGGGCGUAAAGCGCGCGCAGGCGGCUGUUUAAGUCUGGUGUUUAAUCCUGGGGCUCAACUCCGGGUCGUACUGGAAACUGGACGGCUUGAGUGCAGAAGAGGAGAGUGGAAUUCCACGUGUAGCGGUGAAAUGCGUAGAGAUGUGGAGGAACACCAGUGGCGAAGGCGGCUCUCUGGUCUGUAACUGACGCUGAGGCGCGAAAGCGUGGGGAGCAAAC
rnacentral:rRNA from 1 species